ACAAACCCAUUUUCGUUGAUGUAUUUGCAAUUAUAUAGCUAUAAUGUGACCAAGACACAUUGACAAGAGUUGUAGAUAUUGCUAAAAUUUCACUUUAUUGAGGAAAAGGUAAAUAUAGGGCUCUCCUAAUAAUUGAGUUCACACAUGAAAAACUUAGACAUUGAAGCUAAUAUACUAGUCUAAAACUGUAGACGAACAAUCAUUGUUCCUUUCAGUUGUGUGCAGGGGAGUUAGGGAUGAUACGCGCACAAUUGUCCUUGAGGAGAGGAGGGAAGAACGUUUAUGCUUAAAAGCUGGGCUGGAUUUUGAUAUGAACAGAUACUAAGAAUAUAUAGGGUGAGGAUACAAGAUUUUAUCAUAU
rnacentral:lncRNA from 1 species